GACGAACCGUGCGAACGUUGUUCGGAAUCACUGGGCUUAAAGGGCGCGUAGGCGGAUUACCAAGUCAGGGGUGAAAUCUUUCGGCCCAACCGGAAAAGGGCCCCUGAUACUGGUAGUCUCGAGGGAGGUAGGGGUCGAGGGAACUUCCGGUGGAGCGGUGAAAUGCGUAGAUAUCGGAAGGAACGCCGGUGGCGAAAGCGCUCGACUGGACCUCUUCUGACGCUGAGGCGCGAAAGCCAGGGGAGCAAACGGG
rnacentral:rRNA from 1 species